ACCCACUGCGCCAAAAUAGAACCCCAUAUUAGUGGUUUCUUUAUCUAAUUAUCUAUUGGGUUUUUCGGUUUGUUUAUUUAUUUGCUUGCUGUGUUUAGUGCUGAGCAUUCUAUUGUAUAGACGUAUCGCAAUUUAUCUAUUAAUUUUUGAUAACUAAUUCUUGAUAGCUGAAGGUUGUUUCCAGUUUGCAGUUACUACAAAGAAGCUGCAAUGGGCAUUCAAUUAUAAUUCUUCCUAUGGACAUAUUUUUAUUUCUCUUGGUUAAAUAACAAUAAGUGGGAAUGCUGGGUUUCCUAAGCAUGUUUACCUUUAGAAGUCACUGCUGAGCUGUUUUCCAAAGUGGAUCUUUUAUUCUGUAAGAUGUUUCUAGUUGUUGAAUCCUUAACAACAUUCAGUUAAGAAAAAUUGCUACUUUGUAGUGUAGUGAUGUACAGUUGUGGUUUGAAUUUACCUUUCACUAGAGUUGUUAAGAAUGUUUUCAUGUGCUUACUUAGUCUCUGUUUAUGUAUCUUCUUUGCAAAGUGUCAGUUUAAACAACAGAAACAUUUACUUAUUGGAUAGUUUGCCUUAUUAUUGAGAGGAAGAGUUCCUCAUAAAUCUAUAUGAAAAUGUAUGUUUUUGCAAAAUGUUUCUUAAUAGUUAAGAAUCGAGCACUUGUCGGGACAUAGUAAAUAUUCAAUAAAUAUCAGGAGAAUCAGAUUUUGAAGGAAACUGAAUUUGAACAGAAUUUGACUCUGUUCAUACAUAAGAAAUAGUUGUGUAUCUUAUAAGAAAUAUUCACAUGAAAAUAUAGUUUGCAAUUAUUUCCAAGUUGUUUACUAUACCUAGUUGAAGAAGAAUCCACUGUUGCUGAAUCAAAUCUAGGAUUAAGAUACCUUUGUUUGGAGUUCUUGUUGUGGCUUAGUGGUAACAAACCCAACUGGCAUCCAUGAAGAUGUGGGUUCGAUCCCUGGCCUCGUUCAGUGCGUUACAGGACUGGCACUGCCAUCAGCUGUAGAGUAGGUCGCAAAUACAACUUGGAUCCCGCACUGCUGUGGCUUUGGUGCAGGCUGACAGCUACAGCUCCGAUUCAACCCCUAGCCCGGGAACUUCCAUAGGCCGCAGGUGCAGCCUUAAAAAGACGAAAAAAUACCUUUACUUUUACCUCAGUUUAAUGAGAAACCCUAGAGGACUGUUUUUAACAUGAUUCAUUAUAAUGGAGGGCAGACCACUGUCACUUCAAACAUUUGCAAAACUUAUUUGGAGUCCCUUAUUUAAAUCUUGUGACAGUAUUGUAGCAAACAAAAGAAGCAAAUAAUAGAGCUUUUAACAAUCUAGACCCUGGAGUCAGACAGACAUUUGUUCAGUCCUGGCAGUGUGGUUAGAAGCUCUGCAACAAUUUACUUAACCUCUUAAAACUUAGCUUCUUCGUUUUCAAAAGAAAGAGACACAUACUUCAGAGAAUCCUUGUGAGGAUAAAAGGGGUAAUGCAUGUAAAGCCCUCAGGAUAGUAGUGGGCACACAUUAAGUCCACAGAACAGUUCAGCUGAAUAUUUAGAGAAUCAUUAUCUGGUUCCAUGGAAAUGUGAAACUUACAUGCUGGCAUAAAUUAUUUAUAAGCCUGAACAGGUUCGAGAUACAAACCCAGGUCUUCAUUUACAUGGCCACAUUAGUAUGACAAAUAUGUCUGAGAAGCUACUGUUUCAUGACCUGUAAAUUAACUUAUUUUAAGCCUCUCCCUUGUCCUACCUCAAAUGAACUGUGGUACCAAUUCCAAGGGCAUUAGGUCCGUGGCCUUAAUAACUCCUCUAAACUCAUCUCCCGUCUUUUUUGUAAAGGACACACUCACAACUUUUGUUUUAUACUCUAGAAAGAAAAGAAAGAAAAGGAAAAAGGCUCAUGCUAACGUCAUUGUCUAGCAUUUCCCACGUUUCUUUAGGCUUUCCAUAAUCUAGGUGAAGUAAGAGUCAACGGUCCUUGAGCAUUACUUCCUGUGCUCAGGCUCAGAGCGUGGGCCAAGAGCUAGCCUGGGCUCGGAGUGUCACCCAGGGACACAGAGAGCAGGGUCUACACUCAGGGGGAGAUCCAGACUCCAGGUCAACGGCAGUCACUGCGGCUGCCCUUCUAGGUAGCGAGGCUUACCUGGGUUGUAUACUUUUGGCCUAUGGGCUGUGGUUAUGGAAAGGACUCAGGAGACACCCCAAAAUAAAAUAUCUGGACAAGUUAUUUAAUCAUAGGAUUUUGUUUUAAAGGGAAUAAAACAAUGUAUGGAAAAUCGAAACCUUUAACCAAGUGCAACUAGAGAUUCUCAUACUAGUUGAAGUAGGUCAGAAAGAGAAAGACAAAUACCAUGGUGAUAUCACUUAUAUGUGGAAUCUAAAAUAUGGCACAAAUGAACAUAUCUAAAUGAACCUGAAAUAUGGCACAAAUGAACAUAUCUACAGAAUAGAAACAGACUCAGAGACUUAAAGAAAGGUCUUGUAGUUGCCAAGGGAAACAGGGGAGGGAGUGGGAUGGAUGGGGGUUUGAGGUUGGUAGAUGCAAACUAUUACGUUCAGAAGAGAUAACCAAAAAGGUCCUACUAUAUAGCACAGGGAAUUAUAUCUGAUCUCUUGUGACAGAAUAUGAUGGAAGAUAAUAUGAGAAAAAGGAUGUGUGUGUAUACACAUACGUAUGUACAUGUAGCACUACGGCAUUUUGCAGUACAGCAGAAAUUCACCCAACACUGUAAUACAACAAUGCUGUAAUAAUAUAAAAUUUUAAAAAACAUCUUCAACUAAGAAUAUGUUUACAUGCAUGUAAGAAUACAGAAUGUGUAAAACACUAGUGUGUAUAUAUCUUAGUCCUGUGUGUGUGUCUAUACACACACACAUAAAUAUGAUUUUAACAAUACAAACUGCAUGUAUAUUGCUGUUUUAUGUGUCUGGCAUUAAAUACCAAUCCCACCCCACUAGAGUAUUAGUAACAUCUUUAACCACGUGUAACGAGAGGUUUGGGGCCAGGCCAGUCCUCUUCUAUUUUCAUCUUCUGGUUCUGGGCCUCUGGGAUCUGUUUCUAUAUCCCUCAUUGAUUUAAUCUCCUACCUUAAUGUCCAGACUUUUUCUCAGCUCAGAGCUAAGAUGUUACUCCAAGAGUCCUCAGUCUCAACAGCUCAAACACUCCCAAGUGAAAUCUGAACCAACAAAGACUUCAUCAGCAGCAUUUGCAAUGUGUCGCAACAUUUAUUUCUCUUUCCUUUGGCUGGAGUAUCUUUAAAUGUGGUCACUGUUGGUGAUGUUUUGUAAAUGCCCUCAGGAAAAAUGUCUGGCUCGAAAUUUCCAUGAAUUCCUGUCUGCAGCUGAAAUGGCAGAAUUUUUAGAGCUCCAUGGCUGUAGGCAAGCAAAGGAAAACUUCUAUACUUGUUUUCUCUUUGAAUGCUCUAUCGGAAUAAGCACAAGCACUUUUUUCCUAAUUGUGUCCUCUUAAUCCUUCCUCUUCUAACCGCUCAACAUACUGAAGCCACUGGAGGGGUUAUGCCUAAUUGCUUACAGCCAUCCAAACAAUAGUACUGUUUCUUGCAUUUGGAAUGUCAGGGAGGACGAGCUUCUUUUUUUUCCCCACUUUUUCUUUAAUUGUGGCAAACACACUUAACCCGAGAUCCACCUCCUUAAUAGAUUUUAACUGUACUGGUAACUACAGCCACGAUGCUGCACCACAGCUCUCCAGAACUGAUUGAUGGUGCAUGACCAUGACCGAAACUCCAGACUCUCUGAACAACAAUCCCCCCAUGACCCUCUUCUCAGCCUCUGGGGACCACCAUUCUCUCUGCUUCUAAGAGACUGACCCUUUUAGAUACUUACUGUAAGAGGAAUCAUGCAAUAUGUGUCUUUCUGCGACUAGCUUAUUUCACUGAGCAUAAUGUCCUCCAGGUCCAUGGUGUUUGUUUGCUUGUGCUUGUUACGCAAAGUACAGAAGGAAAAGAGAGCUCUGUAACCAUCCGCCCUCGUGGUUUGCAACAUGCGACUUUGCUAAUGAUUUUUAUCUGCCCACGUUCAGGCAGGUCUCCUCCAGGGCUCCUCCUUGGGUUUAAUGCUCGCUCAUCUCUCUCUAAUUAUUUGGAAAGGUCAAAUUAAUACUUUGGGAAAAAAUGCCAAAACCUUCAAUCCCAACAAACAAAUAAACCUGCACUGGGCCCGGGAUGAAAUCAUAAACCAAGGAUAGUUAGAACUGAACUAUUUUCUCCUCCUCUCCAACAGUUUAUUUUUCCAAUUUAGAAGACAACAAGCGUUCAAAGAAAUGGCAUUGGGCAAAAUAUCACGGAAUUUUUGAUUAGUCAGACAGAAGCAUUUGACCCUUAUAGUUAAAAGCAUAGGGUCAAUUUUGAAAAUAAAUAGUUGAAAAUCCUGAUCAAGCAAAAUCUCAACCAAGACAACUUCUCAGGAUUGGUGUUUACCCUGUUGGUUCAGCCCCCACCGUGAAGUCUACCAAGAAUAACAGGACCAUUGAUUUAAUCCCUUUCUGGCAGGCCUUUAACUGAAAUUUAAUUAUGUUGCUUUUUGUCUGCAACCUUCCCCCAAGGUUUCUGUGAUAUUAGAAUACCUCCUUUAAGUGUUAUGAAAAGCGCAUUAGAGGGUUUUUCCUCUGAUUAUUUCAUAACAUAACAUAGCAGUUCCUUCUGCCAGCAAGCCCACACAACUGUUUCCAAUAAAUGAAACAGUUUUCUUUUUUUUACGUUUUAUAAAGUGUAGAUUAAACAUUAAUUAGUUGUAGUUGAGUUUCAACAUUUUCCUUUCACAGCGAUUUUUUUUUGCAACUAGUUCUCAAAUGACACAAAUAAGUUCCUAUAAUGUGUGAACAAUGGCACAGCCUAAGACUUCAGAAAGGGCAAGGAUGCUUGGUUAAGUCAAUCUUAAACUGUUUUGCAAUGAUUUCAUGCUGAGCAAUUAUUUCUAUAUUCCUUAAAUGGUGGGAGUUUCAAAGGCAUGGUUGAGUGUGUAUUUUUAUAGCCAACAGAAUCUUAUUAAAGGGGUAUGGCUUUCUGGAUUUCUUUCCUUCCUCUUCUCCAAACUCAUAAAAUUGAAAGAGGCCAACCCCGGUGUGUAGUAACCACAGUAGCGUCCACGUUUCAUGGUCACCAGUGUCAAUUCUUGUCAUUUUUGUUUACUAUUAUUGGCUUGUCACGAGCUCCAUAUCUCCAAAAAUAAUUGAAAAUGAAAACAAACUUUUGUGUGUGUCCUUUUUCUCCCCAGCAACGUGUCAGCCUGGGAAAAUGCUCUCUUUGAAAAGAAAGCAAAGCUGACAUAUAAUUGUUGCCUUUACCCCAGCUGUUACUGACAUUACAUGCUGAACCUUCCUUGGAGACGGAAAACCAAUUUUGAUAUGACACUCUGAAAAGCCACCACUGGUACUUUACAAAUAGUUCAAGGUCACAGGAGUCUUGCCUGAGACACUCUCAGGUAAACCUCUGGAGGACUUUUCUUUCUUGGGGAAAGCUGUGUUUUUAUUGAUUUUGCAAAUUGUAGACUUAAAGUCUAACAAAGGAAAAGCUAUCAAGAGGGAGAAAAAAAAAAACUAAGUACAAAAUCAAUGCUUUUGCACUGAAAUUUUCAAAAGCAAUUCCAUGCAAGUGUUAUGGUGAAAGAGAAGUUAAAGAUUUCAAGUCUGACAUUUGAAACUUGUAUUUGGGAACAGAAAACCUCAAUAUGACAUUCUAUUAAUGAAACAUUUGGUAAAGAAUUUAACUCUUAUUACUGAAAUAUAAUUCAAGGUCUCUAUUUAAAGAAUUAUGAUCAUUUAGAGUAUCCUACCCAUAUUUUGUCAGCCUUAUGUUACUUUAUUGAAAUUUUUGUGAUUCAAUCAGCAAUAGAUUACCUUACGAUAUUCUAAUAAAAACCAUUUUUCACCUUCAUUAGCUAAGCAGUGCUUCAUGAGUUUCAUUCCUACUUAGCAAUUUCUGGGGUAAACUAAUCAGCCCUUAUUUCCUUCUUGCCCUUUGAAUCCUCGGAGCAAAGCUGAAAUACUUUUUUAGUUGCUAAGAUAUUAAGGCAGCCAAUCUUCCAAGGAAGCUCAACGUUAUUAACACUAAGUAUCAAGACCUCAGUGGUCAAUUUUGUUUCUGAGCUUGCUGACCACCUAAGCUACCCUGGCCAAUAACCCAAAUGGUUAAUCUGAACUCAAAAACUAAACUGAACUGGCCUCGUGUUCAUGCUAUAUCAGUGUUAGUGCUGUCCCUUUUUUCUCUUACUUCUAUAUACUAGGAAAUUUAUACUCACCCACAUGGGUUGAGUCGAUAAAGCUCAAUUUCCGAACCAGAUGUCACUAAGAAAAAAAAAAAUCCAUUUGGGAAAUAAUGGACUCUUAUCUGUGUUCUCUUUUAUAGUCAUCUUUUAAUAAUAUUCUUAUUAUUUGAGAGCUUUAGGGCAAGAAGCAACACAUUUAAUUUAUAAAGUUUAUGACUCAUAUUCACAUUACCGCUACUUCAGAGACAGAGCCAUUUUUUACAUGUCAAGUCAUUUUGCUUCGUCCUAAAUUAAGAUGAUAGAUAGAUAGACAGAUAGAUAGGCUCUCUUAUAACCACUCCAAGAAACAAGUUUCAUAACAAGUUCAUGAUAUCACUGAAUCCAUAAAGGAACAGUGAUAAAUACCACUCAAUGUGCAAAUGUUCACUGAACGCAGGAUAUAGCGAACAUUAUAUUUGCAUUACAACAAUAAGAUCACGAUUAUGAUACAUUCCCUAACUUUUACACAUUUAACAUAAUUCUAAUUAUAAUGAGCAUUUAUUACUUUCUGUGUGCUAUGCAUCAUAUGCAUAUGUGUGCAUGUGUUUCUCACUGCAAUCUUGAAAAGUAUUAUAUCUCUAGUUAUACAAAUGAGAAACUGGCCAGGAUGAGAAUAAAAUGACUCAUGUAGGAAUGGGUAGUGAGUUGGAUUUAAACCCUAGACUAUUAGACCUAAAAAUCCGUAUGUGGUACAUUACACUAAACCAAUACACAAAGAAAACUGACAAUUAGACAAAUCACUCCAUUAAUGAGCACGACGUGAUCACUGUCAUUUGAGAUAGAGUAAGUUCUACAGAAAGCAACAUCUUACCAUUGGUAUCAGAAGAACACUUAGCAGCAAAUGGAAGCUUAAUUACAAACUUUGAAGUCCAGCUAAGGAGUAGACACAUGAACACCAAAGCAAAACAAAACCCAAAUAAAUGGAGAAAUGGAAGAAAUGUAAUCCUGGAGUCCAUUCAUUAUUUUUGACUAAUUGCUUACUAUCCCCUUAGUUUAGAAUGUGCAAUGUCAUGUCAGGCUUAAAAAAAAGAAAGCAAAAGGAACAAAUGGUUCCAUUCCAUUCAUGUGUAUAAUGAAUCAAAUUCUCAUUAUUGUAAUGAGGUUUGCAUUUGAAGACUGAAUUAUUUUUUUAAAUGGGUUGGCCCCUAAGGUUAUCAUUUAAGAGGAAGUGAUGAGGUUAAACUUACAAUUGGAGAAUGAAGACGCUUGAGGCCGGAAAAUUGAGGAGGGAGAUGUAAGAGCUCAGACAAGAUGUAAAACAAGGGUUUGGGUACAGAAAGUAAGAGAAAUGGAUAGGUUCAAGGCCCUUAAUAGGUAGGAUGCUGAGUAUUAGGGAAAUUGGUGACAAAGGUAAUAAAUCAGGGACUCCCAAUGUGGGGAUGAUUUUUGCAUUGAGCAUUUCCAUUAUCCUUCUCUUACAUCUCAUGAUAUUCAGAAUAUUGCCAGUGGUCCAUCUGAAUUUCAAAAUACAACUGAUUUGACUGUGUAAUUUCUAUAAACUCCUCUAGGUAAGAACUCCAGAAAUGAAAUAAUAAAGAAGUCUUGUCAGUUAAAGUUUUCCAUCUCAUGUUAGCUAAAUGAUUUGGAGAAAUUUACCCUAAAUCAGUCAUGAUUUUUUCAGGUAGAGAAAAGGAGAUGAUGAUAUAUGUCUAUUUUGAGUUAAAGGAGUUAGCAAAGAUAUACAAUAAUAGCAUGAUGUUUGACUGAAAAAAAACUAACAAAUGUUGAAUUUCUUCCCUCAUUUUAGGUGCUGUGAAAGGUCAUAUUUUUAUUUAGAUUUGGGGUCUGAAAACCUCCUAUCAAGGGUCAGUGUCCCUAAAGGUUAGCUCAGUUGGCUAUAAUAAAAUACCACAGACUGAGUGACUCAGAAUCAACAGAAAUUUAUUUCCCACAGUUCUGAUGGCUAGACGUUUUGAAGUCAGGGUGCUAGCACGGUUGGGUUUCGCUGAGGCCCUCCCAGGUUGAAGAUGGCCACCUGUCUGCAGUAUCCUAACAGGUAGAAAGAAGGGGAGAGCGCUCUUGGGGGUCCUCCAUGUAAGGGCACGAAUCUCCUUAAUGAGGACUCCAUCCUCAGGACCUGGUAACUUUUACAGGUCCCACCUCCUAACAUCAUCCUCUUGGAUGCUAGCAUUUCUUUUUCUUCCUUCUUUCUUUUCUUUUUUUUUCUUUUUUUUGCUUUUUAAGGCUGCACCUGUGGCAUAUGGAAGUUCCCAGGCUAAGGAUCGAAUCAUAGCUGCAGCUGC
rnacentral:lncRNA from 1 species